rnacentral:rRNA from 1 species
CCUCCCCCGAGACAAGUUUUCCCGGGCAGCAAUGCCCCUGAAGUCAGGUUGCAGACCACGACCUCGAUAGGCCGAAGGUGGAAGCGGAGCGAUCCGUUGAGCCGAUCGGCACUAAUAUGACGUGCGGCUUAGCUUA